rnacentral:rRNA from 1 species
GACGAACGCUGGCGGCGUGCUUAACACAUGCAAGUCGAACGGAAAGGCCCUGCUUUUGUGGGGUGCUCAAGUGGCGAACGGGUGAGUAACACGUGAGUAACCUGCCCUUGACUUUGGGAUAACUUCAGGAAACUGGGGCUAAUACCGGAUAGGAGCUCCUGCUGCAUGGUGGGGGUUGGAAAGUUUCGGCGGUUGGGGAUGGACUCGCGGCUUAUCAGCUUGUUGGUGGGGUAGUGGCUUACCAAGGCUUUGACGGGUAGCCGGCCUGAGAGGGUGACCGGCCACAUUGGGACUGAGAUACGGCCCAGACUCCUACGGGAGGCAGCAGUGGGGAAUAUUGCACAAUGGGCGGAAGCCUGAUGCAGCAACGCCGCGUGCGGGAUGACGGCCUUCCGGUUGUAAACCGCUUUCGCCUGUGACGAAGCGUGAGUGACGGUAAUGGGUAAAGAAGCACCGGCUAACUACGUG